rnacentral:pre_miRNA from 4 species
GAUUUCAGCUGAAAAAGUCAUCAAUAACAAAGUUGUACAACUCAUGAAGAUCUAUAACUUCUAUUUUGGUCAUUCUUCAUCUGACAAAGUGAUGGUAACAUUUUUUCAAAAUUUACAUAUCUCUCUUAUAGUUUAUAAAACUAUAUAAGAGAUAUGUACAUUUUGUGAAUAAUCUUACAAAUCACUUUUUUGGAUGAAUAAAUGACCAAAAUAAAAGUUAUAGAUUUUGAUAAGUUAUACCACUUUGUUAUUGAUGACUUUUUCAGUUGAAAUC